CUAAAUACUAAGCUAAGUGUCAUGUUCCAAAGCCAUUUAGACUGCACUCCUAAAUAAGGAUUACAUUGCAGUGGAGCAGGCUUGCACGGAAGAGCAGAAGGAGCUAGCUGCUGCCAGGACAGACGGGGCAGGAGGCAACGCGGCCAGGGGGACAGCGGCACCGCGGAGCUGCUGGUGGGUGCCUCGCCUCCUCCCACUUCCAUAGCCCUACAAACUGCCCAAGGGCACAACGCAGAGCUGGAGGGUAAUCUCAGGUUCGGGAGCCAGUAGUACUUGCAAUACCA
rnacentral:lncRNA from 1 species